AACGGCCAUAUCAUAUUGAAACAUCGCUUCUCGUACGAUCACCGAACUUAAGCAACGUUGAGCGUGGUCAGUAACUAGAUGGGUGACUGCUUGGUAAUACCAGGCGCUGUAAU